rnacentral:tRNA from 1 species
GCCUGGGUGGCUCAGUUGGUUGAGCGUCUGACUUCGGCUCAGGACAUGAUCUCACAGUCUGUGAGUUCGAGCCCCGCGUCAGGCU